rnacentral:rRNA from 1 species
AACGAACGCUGGCGGCAGGCCUAACACAUGCAAGUCGAACGCUGCAGCAAUGCAGAGUGGCAGACGGGUGAGUAACGCGUGGGAACCUUCCCAGUGGUACGGAAUAGCUCAGGGAAACUUGAGGUAAUACCGUAUAAGCCCCUAGGGGGAAAGAUUUAUCGCCAUUGGAUGGGCCCGCGUCGGAUUAGCUAGUUGGUGAGGUAACGGCUCACCAAGGCAACGAUCCGUAGCUGGUUUGAGAGAAUGACCAGCCACACUGGGACUGAGACA